CUGCGAAGAAGUAGAACAGUCCGAAUUUCAUGUGGCAAAGCAUCGACAGGAACACCUGAGCGAUGACAAAGGUGAAGAACAUGUUCACUGAUACGUUGAUUGCUUGUCCUGCAGAUCGGAUUUCCAGCGGACAGAUUUCACUUGGUACCAACCAACCUAAUGGUCCCCAAGACCAGGCGAAUGCCGAGACGUAUACGCAGAUUAGGAAUAGAAUCAUGUUUGCGUCGACUUUUGUUAGGGUUCCUUCUCCGUUGAGUCCGAAUUUGACGCCGAUUAGCGUUCCGACUAGGAUUUGGCAGAUGAACAUCUGUACUCCGCCUUCCAGGAACAGGAUUCUUCGCCCAAAUUUGUCGACUGUGAAGAUUGAGACUAGGGUUGCCAGGACGUUGACGCCGCCGCUGAUGACGGCAGAUAUUAGAGAUGCGUCGUCGCCGAAUCCGAGAGUCUUGAACAGAACAGGAGCGUAGAACAUGAUGACAUUGAUGCCGGUUAGUUGUUGGAAGAAUGGGAUUAAAGCGCACAUCACGAGUUGAGGUCUUGGAACUCCUCUUGGACAUCGUCAGUACCACGAACUUUCUGUAGCAUCUUCUUAGCCUUCUCUGUAUAUCCUCUUUCGAGAAUGGAGUUAGGAGUAUCGGGAAGGAAGAAGGAUCCGACGGUCAUCAUCACGGCGGGGACUGCGGCGAGAGCCAGUGAGACUCUCCACCCCCAUCCGCCUGCAAUUUUGGCUGUACCGACAUUUACAAGAUUCGCCACCAAGAUGCCGAUUGUGAUGGCCAUUUGGAAGCCCAUGUUCAGAGCACCUCUGAUUUUGGCUGGUGCCAUUUCAGAAAGCAUACCUGAUUGGCAAAUCCAACACCAACACCAAGCAACAAACGGCCAAUGAUGAGCAGUGCAAUGCUAUUAGCAACACCAUUGAGAAUGGAACCAAAUAAGAAGGAAAGACCUCCAAUAAACAUGGAUGGCUUGCGGCCAAAUUUCCGGGUAAUGAUGGACGCGGCGAAGGAAGCCACCAGAGCGGCAAGGUAAAGGGAAGAGGAGAUGCAUCAACAUGCGAAGCAGGGGGGCCGGAUCCACUGCGCAGUCAUGUAAUCUUUCUGGGAGUUUGGAGCCCAAUCAAUCGGGUCGUGUAGGUGUCUGUCAGGCUUGUUGAAAGCAUCUGGCCAGGCGCAUUCCGAGUUGACCAAACUGCGGAUUAGCAGGUUAUCCUCAUCUCCAAGCUCUUCAUAAUACUACACACACUCCCCUCGUCUUAAAUAAAAAAUCAUAUCAGUGUGAAAGCAGAGUGAAAAAGGGGAUUGAAUAGGGGAAUCUUGGGUCAUCAACCAACCAGCUUCCUUCUAAGCACAUUCCUGUUUGUAGGGAGAAUGUUUUGAGACUUGAAUCUUGAUGGUACAGAAAUAUUCCAUAAGGAAGCAUAGGCUGUGGAGGUGAGUUUAUAACCACUCUUCACUAAAUAUAAAUUCCUUCUAUCAUAUCAUAUCAUACUGUUAUAGUUGCUAAAGAACCCCUUCCCACUGGAAUAUUCAGGAUGUGGUUUCUAUCUCUUCUUUCCUAAACAAGUCGUCGGUUCCAUUCAAACUCAUCCAACUCGUGAGAGGAUGAGCCUUAAGUCUGAAUGUUGUUUCCCUUCGGAUCGAUUCAUGAUUAUGAAUGUCAAUCUAGUGGCCAUU